AUUGAACGCUGGCGGAAUGCUCUACACAUGCAAGUCGAGCGGCAGCGCGGGGGCAACCCUGGCGGCGAGCGGCGAACGGGUGAGUAACAUAUCGGAACGUACCCAGUCGUGGGGGAUAACUAUCCGAAAGGAUAGCUAAUACCGCAUACGUCCUGAGGGAGAAAGCGGGGGAUCGCAAGACCUCGCGCGAUUGGAGCGGCCGAUAUCGGAUUAGCUAGUUGGUGGGGUAAAGGCUCACCAAGGCGACGAUCCGUAGCGGGUCUGAGAGGACGACCCGCCACACUGGAACUGAGACACGGUCCAGACUCCUACGGGAGGCAGCAGUGGGGAAUUUUGGACAAUGGGGGCAACCCUGAUCCAGCCAUUCCGCGUGAGUGAAGAAGGCCUC
rnacentral:rRNA from 1 species